GCGGAGAUGGCCCAGCUAGGUAAGGCGAUGGAUUGCUAAUCCAUUGUCCGCAAGGACUCGGGGGUUCAAAUCCCCCUCUCCGCG
rnacentral:tRNA from 1 species